AUUGAACGCUGGCGGCAUGCCUUACACAUGCAAGUCGAACGGUAACGGGUCUUCGGAUGCUGACGAGUGGCGAACGGGUGAGUAAUACAUCGGAACGUGCCUAGUAGUGGGGGAUAACUACUCGAAAGAGUGGCUAAUACCGCAUGAGAUCUACGGAUGAAAGCAGGGGAUCGCAAGACCUUGUGCUACUAGAGCGGCCGAUGGCAGAUUAGGUAGUUGGUGGGAUAAAAGCUUACCAAGCCGACGAUCUGUAGCUGGUCUGAGAGGACGAUCAGCCACACUGGGACUGAGACACUGCCCAGACUCCUACGGGAGGCAGCAGUGGGGAAUUUCGGACAAUGGGCGCAAGCCUGAUCCAGCAAUGCCGCGUGCAGGAUGAAGGCCUUCGGGUUGUAAACUGCUUUUGUACGGAACGAAAAGCCCUGGGUUAAUACCCUGGGGUCAUGACGGUACCGUAAGAAUAAGCACCGGCUAACUACGUGCCAGCCGCCGCCGUAA
rnacentral:rRNA from 1 species